CAGUCGUACCUGCGGGUAAUCAGCCUUUUGGGCAUGAUUCUGUGGAGCGUGAGGAGUUAAACGCCUUCAUGCCUGCAUAUUCGUGUACUUUGGGUGUACUUGCCUGUGUGGUUAGUUAACAUCAAUUUUGGUUAUCAUAAAAUGGUUGGAGGAAUGUAGCUUCGAUCUCGUAUUGAAGUGUUAUAGCCUUCGGCAGAUGUGAUGAUCGAGAUUGAGGAUUGCAACGGAUACCCUUCGGGGCUACCUGUCUGAUCUCUGAUCGUUGCUCUGGUACCGAAAGCGUGCUUACGGUUAUCAAAGUCGAUGGUCAACAGGUUAGAACGGGUUAAAUUCGUUAAGGAUGUUGACGUAAUGGCUUUAAACGACCCGUCUUGAAACACGGACCAAGGAGUCUAAACAUAUAUGCGAGUGUU
rnacentral:rRNA from 1 species